GGGCCGGUAGCUCAACUGGUAGAGCGUCUCCUUCGCAUGGAGAAGGCUCCGGGUUCGAGUCCCGGCCGGUCCA
rnacentral:tRNA from 2 species